rnacentral:lncRNA from 1 species
AAGUAAGUUGGAAAGCUAAGCCUUGGCCCAAGGCAAGAAAGGAUCAAGGUCUUACAGCCAAGGAGAGUUGCAACUUAGGAUUUCCAUACCAAAGGACAGUAGGCCUGGCCAUGUCGCACCAUUGGGCGGCCUUUGCUUGCAUGCACAAGUGUGCACUUAUGCAGGAUAGGCAGUUCGUACCUGCGAGUAGCCCGCAUGAGUGGGAAGGACAAGUCUGCAUGGGUGAAGCAUGCAGGCAGGAAGUUUAAACUUGAGAGGGACCCUUCCUUCAUCCUUUUUCCCACAUGUUUUGUAUGAUUAAAGACAAAUAAAAAUUCUACACCAAAUUG